AUUAUUAUAAUUUAAAUUAAAAUAUUAAAUUGCAAAUUUAAAUAUGUAUAAUUAUACUAAUAAUU
rnacentral:tRNA from 1 species